UUUGUGUGGGAGGAAGUGACGUCAGGAGGAGCGCCGCCAGGGUUCUCUCUCGAGUCCUCGCCCGUGAACUCUGACCUUUCUCUCGGUUCCUCCGGGAAAGGGACCGUUGGUGCCUCCGCCGCCGCCCCCUUAUUCCCCCCUUCCCUCCCUCCCUUCCCCUUUUCCUCUCCAUCCCCGAGGGCCGCCAUGGAGAGCCAAGGCGCCCCGUCCCCAGAACAGCAGCAGCAGCAGCAGCAGCAGCAGCAGCAGCAGAUGGAAAGCUCUUGGGACAGGGUCCUGCCCUCUUUUACUCUGAAAAACACCAUGGCACUAUAUACACAUAAUGUAACCAGAAGUGAAUUUACGACAGCUGUUAAUGUUGUAUGACAAUAAACAUACAAAUGAAUUAA